GCGAUAUCUACACCCUAAAACUUACAGGGAAAAACCAAUAUGGCCAUCAACAAAGUUCAUGUUAAUGUUAUGAUUCUCCUACUGUGUGGUGCAUUUAUGGUGGGAGUUCUCAAUCCAAAAGUUGUGACUGCGCAAGCUUCUUGCCCAACGAUAGAAUGCCCGUGCGUAGUUAAUAUGACUUGUGGGCCAGACAAUACGCUAUAUGAUGGCUGCAGCUGCUGCGGUAACCCAGGCUGCACCAUUCAUCUGUGCGAUAAUUCCACAGUUUACUGUCCUACAACUUGAAGGGGUGGUCGAUGUUCCAUGUAAUAAAUUUCAAACUCUCUGUUUGCAAAUAAUGAGAUUUAUUUUGCAACAGACUUAAUAAUUGUCGUAAUAGUAAAAUAAAAAUAAAUAACUAUGAGCAUUGCUCUGCUCAAUGUAUUCUCUCCAAGAUUGGAACCUAUAGGUUCUAAUUCCUUCGUCCCCACUUAUUGUGUUUGAAAUAAAUAAAAAGACUCUGAAUUCUCAUUGUCUCCCA